AACACCACAUUCAAAGAGUUUGUCGACCCCGAUGCAAACCAAACUUUUCGUAAUAGCGAUGUCAUCAAGCUAAUCAAGGAGUCGGAGACGCCAGUAGGAACAACGGGGUAACGCGUGCUUUAAGCAUGUUGCGUGCUUUGUCUUACAUGUGUACUUUGCCGGCAUGUUUAGUGCGCAAUCAGGAGAUGAGAUAGUUAUUUCAUCAGACAACCUUACCACGUCUACGGAUGAGACAACUUGCAGCAGAGGAGCAUACAGGUUGCCGAAGGUACCCGUGGAUUUACAUGCAGCAAUAUGCAAGGCGGAGCUUGGCAAGGUGGAAUCUAGCCUUAAGAGCAGAAUAAUCCAGUGGUUGACAACUGACCUCAGGACAUACAGCCCAUACCCAGGAAGCCUGUACACCGAGGCAGCUAAGGCACUCGUGCUUCAGUACCCUCAACUUCGCGACACAAUAGGAACAGGCUAUGACUCCUGGAAGGUACGGUUUAAGUACCGCUUUGCAUACCUGAGGCGGGAGAUGACGCACCUAAAACCAGUGACUGAAGCUAAAAAUAAAUUUGGUCGGAGAAAAGUGUCUGAAAAUGCACAGAAUCCUCCGAAACGUCCAUGU